rnacentral:lncRNA from 1 species
UUAAGCAGUAGGUAGUGCUGUAGGCCUGCUGAAUAGAGUGGCAGCGGAGGGAGCCGCUGCAGCAGCAGCGGAGGAGAGAGCAGAGCCGAGCAGAGCAGAGCCCAGUCAGCCCGAUAGAGAUGUUAACUAAGCGAGAGCCCGCGAGCCUCCCACCGGAGCAUCAGUAGACUCCGCGCCUUGCCCUGCUCCCACGGCCCGCGCCCCCUGCCCACCCAUCGGGCCCCCGAUCGGUGGCACAGGCUGCAUCUCUGCACGGGCAGGCGGCUGCCCGGGAUGGGCACGGGCUCUGCCCCCUGCCCAGCCUCGGCUGCGUGAGUGGGAGGCUGCUGCGGCCACCGCUCUAGCCAUCCUGGCUCGGGGGGCGCCAGUGCUGCUGCUGCGGCUGCAUUGGGGGGCGCAGGCCCCCCACCCCGUCUCCGCUGCUCCCCACAGUUACUUUUCCUCCCCCCUGCGGCUUCUCGCCCGGGCAGGGAAAAUAACAGUGAGCUCAGAGCUCAGCUCGGGGAAGAGCUAGCUUCUGUUUUUUUUUUCUUUUAAACACACACACACACACACACACACAAUUAUACACACGUAUACGCACACACGCGCGUACACACACACACACACACACACACACACACACACACGGAUCUCCUCCGCGCAAUUGCAGCAAUCUUAGACCUGGAAGGAGCUUGGGGCAGCACGGAGAGCCCGGCUGGGCUCGAGCGAUGAGGGGAAGAGAUUGGCUAAGCUCGCUGCACAUCUACUGGCAGAGUUGGGAGGCUCCGGACGACCCUACAGACCCACCCUCCAUGAGAAGACAUUCUGAAGGGCAAGGUUGCCAGCUGGGAGGAAGAAAGCACAUGCCAAGAAGACCCUUGGAAAAUCAUUGGAUAAUAGACUAAAACUGGCAAAUGACAAGAAAGACCAAAGAGGAACCAUGAGCCUGCCUUCACUUUCCCCAGAAGUUCCCUGUUGGUGGGGCUAUGUGUGUGUAAGGGGCCACGUUGGAUAUGAAGGAAUACAAAGGUGAAAUGGAUAAACAAAUAUGACUGAUCCCUCCCCCGCCCUGUCCAAGCAUUUACCUUCUACUGAGGUAUGUGUCAUGUAAGUGGACAAGUACAUACAUGGUCAUUUGAGGAUGGGAGGGGCACAGUAUGAAGAAUAUUAAUAGCUAACAUAUGACUUUUUAAAGUUCACAAAACAUGUUAUCUCAUUUGUUUCUCACAACAACCAAGUCACCUGCCAUCUCUGGGCCUCAGUUUCCCCAUUUGCCAAAUGAGUGGAC